GAUGAACGCUGGCGGCGUGCCUAAUACAUGCAAGUCGAGCGAACAGAUAAGGAGCUUGCUCCUUUGACGUUAGCGGCGGACGGGUGAGUAACACGUGGGUAACCUACCUAUAAGACUGGAAUAACUCCGGGAAACCGGGGCUAAUGCCGGAUAGCAUUUAGAACCGCAUGGUUCUAAAGUGAAAGAUGGUUUUGCUAUCACUUAUAGAUGGACCCGCGCCGUAUUAGCUAGUUGGUAAGGUAACGGCUUACCAAGGCAACGAUACGUAGCCGACCUGAGAGGGUGAUCGGCCACACUGGAACUGAGACACGGUCCAGACUCCUACGGGAGGCAGCAGUAGGGAAUCUUCCGCAAUGGGCGAAAGCCUGACGGAGCAACGCCGCGUGAGUGACGAAGGUCUUCGGAUCGUAAAACUCUGUUAUUAGGGAAGAACAAAUGUGUAAGUAACUGUGCACGUCUUGACGGUACCUAAUCAGAAAGCCACGGCUAACUACGUG
rnacentral:rRNA from 1 species